GCGGCCGCUCCGUGCGGAGGAGAUGGAGGCGGCCGUGCGGCGGCGGCCGCAGCCCGAGGAGCAGAGCGCGGCGAAUGGAGAGCGGCCGCCGGCCCUGUCGGGGCAGUCCUACUGGCUGGACCUGUGGCUCUUCGUCCUCUUCGACGUGGCGCUCUUCGUAUUUAUCUACCUGCUGCCCUGACGGGCCGGGCCCAGAGCCACGUGGAUCAGGAAUCACUGGACGCACCUUAGGAACACAAACGGGACCAUUUGGAGGAGAAGCAUUUGCACAGCAUAGACAGCAAUGGAGAACGAGGCUUUCCACUGAUGGAAAGGCAAGAAGCCCCGGAGCUGGAGAGAUGGGUGCAUGCUGUAUCACUGUACAGCCCGGGAUGUAUUACAAGUAUUGUCUUUAGGAUUGUGCCUGUAUCUUAUCUUUCCAUGUUCUAAACUGUGCCUUUCAGGACAGGAGAGAGUUUGACUGUGCUUUUGUAAUUCGCUUGAAGACUUGAGUAUAAAUGAAAAUAUGCACUGUUUGAAUAAAACCCAGCAGUCAGAGACUGAAAUUGUUACUGACUUAUUUGCUCAGAAGACGAAACUUAGCCCCUUUAUCUUGCUUUCAAAAAAUUAACACUCUCUGUACAGAAGUGCAUGUGAGAUUCUUGCUUCAGCAGUUACUGUGCCAGUGCACAGCAGUAGCUGCUGCCCUCACCUGCUGAUUUAGGUAAUACAAGUUCUGAUUUACACACUACAAGCAGCAAAGGAAGGAGCUUACAAGAGCAUUCUUAAGCAAUUGCCAGGUUUCACAUACCCACUCCCAUCAAAAAUUUCUAAGUCUCUGGCUAUGACGAGGCUUUCAAAAACAGUGUUGCAUCAGUGAACAUCUUGAAUGCUCAAGUUGCUUGCUGGACCAAUGAGGUUUUUAGGAAGACUGGAUGAAGGCACUUCAGCAUCUGUAUUCUUUAUUUUCAUCUUAUUAAUAAUUUGAGAAGUACAACUUGAUUUUUCAGAAAUAUAAAAUGUAACUGGAGUUCUGAGUUUGGUUGUUCCAGUAUUUUCUGAUACAACCUGACAAGAGCUUAUUUUCAUUUAAUACAAUAUUCAGGACACAGAAGUAGGUAUGCAUGCUCUAUUUUCUUUUUUUCAUUCUUAAGCAGUUCUUCAUUGAUGCUGGUUUUCAUUACAUAUUUAACUUGUGUAUUCAAAAACAAGACUGAUGCUUUAAGAACUGAGUUACCUUUAACUGCUAGUGCUUAUGACCUAUGAAAAUGUCAGUAGCUUAAAAGCUACUGGAAAAAAAAGUGAACAGGGAUUGGAUUCUCACAAAUGGGAAAAUGGUUUCCUUUUUUUUCUUCUACAACUGAACCGAACCUAUUAAAGAGGUAAGUUUACUUUUGUUCCCCCUUUUCCCCCAGAGAUUUCACUGUAAAGUCACAAAGGAACAAGCUACUAGAGGAACACUAAAACUCCUUCAUUUCUCCUUUGUAAGGAAGACCGUUGAGAAUAAGUCUUGACAGUUUUGACAGAAGAGAACCUAACGUAGUGAUUUAGUUUCUUUCAGUUAAGUCUGACAGAAAAGGUUUUACAUAUCUCGGAAAACUUAAAGCUAUCAAAGCACAGGCUUGUGAUGCUUUGAGCUCAAGCUAUUUCAUAGCUUGAAUAACUGCAAUACCUGAAUGUAAGCAUCAAGACAACCUCAUUUCUAACUAGUACAGCAAAACUGCACUAUAUUAUAUACUAUAUAUAUAGUACAGUAUACUAUAUUAGAAAGCCAACUUUAUAAACCAGUACUUCAGAUGAUGAAUUUUACUGUUUAAAUAUGGUCAGAGAACCACCAUCUCUUUAAAGCUUUCAAGCAUUACUAUUAGCUAUCAUUUUUAAAAAGUGUGGCUCUGGAAAGCCAGGGUGUGGUUUCAUUGUUGCAGGUUUACUUCUUGUUUUUAAGGAAAGCGCAGCAUACAAAAAGAAUACAGACAAAAGACAUUUUAUAUUUUUAUCUGAUAAUUUGAACAAGCAGAACUUUGCAAGAAAAUAAUUCUAAAGACUGAAAAAUAUAUUAAUUACAAGACUUAUUAAUGUAUUUACUGUUAAAAAUAUGUCUAGGCUCUUAUACAAAUCUAUAGCCAGGAAGGGACAUUUAUAAAAAAAUAAAUAGGCACCCUACGUAAGUCAAGACAAGUUAUCACUUAUUUGUUAGCAAAUAUUACAUACAUACAUGGAGUGCAGAGUCAAAUAUAAAAACAAAGGUGCCUUAAUUAGCUGUUUACUAUUAUAAUUAAACACCUGGUAAACAUGGGUCACAUAAAAAGUCGUCUGGUAAGAUUGUUUCAAGCAAAGCAAGAAGACAGAAGUACAUCUAAAUUACUGCAUCUACUUUAAAAAUAAGUUUUACCAGUUGUGCUCACUGGAAACCAAAUUCAUUGGCAUCAGUAACAGGCAUUCAUAUUGCUUGUUGUAUACAAGUAUGAACAUCGCUAUGCAUGUUUAAAAAUAACUGUUAUAACAUCAUUCACAGUUGUUGCUGUGCUAUUUAUACAUAAAAAUACUGUCAUUUCAAAUACAAUUUCUGCAAACAUUUUACAAAUUAUACAUUAUUUACAAAUUCCAUACUCUUCUUUGUUGUUGUUUUUUUUUUUUUUUACACAAGUAUUAGAAGACAGCUUUACUGAAAUGCUAUGUAUAGCAUGUAACAUUGCUGUAGGAACAUUAGAAAAAAAUUUACAAGAAAAAAAUUUACAAGUUUUGAAAUCUCUUUCAAAAGUAAGACAAUUAGGAUUCUUCCAAGGUUUUUCACACUCAAGGCUUUUUUUCUGGUUUGUUCACAAAAAGAUACUUUGUUUACCACCAACCAUUCCUAAACAUGCAUAAUUAUUUGCUACAAGCUCCAGAAUUCAUUUCUUCCUAUAACAAAUUCUCAUCAAUAAGGUAAAAAUAAGGUUCAUCUAAGAUACUUUGUUGCAUAUGUUGUGUUCCAGUUUGACUACAAGUUACAAGUAGUUUAAAACACUGACCAUGAAGAAUAACCAAAUGUAUAACUUUGUUUAUCUUAAAGAGUUCAACCAAAUGUCAACGUUUGGUUGAGGCCCUAAAACUCACACAUAAGGUAUAUAAACAUAAAAAAGCCUUUCUGACUAACAGUGCAAGCAUAAGCAAGAGUGUUUUCCAUGAAUAUUUAACUUGCUUGCAAUAUUUUCCUAACUAAAAGGCAUUUAUGUUUAGAUAUAGUCAGCAGCACCCCAUUUUUAAGAUAAAACUAACAGAAAUAACUUCAAAAUUCAGUCUUUCCAGAUUAAUUUUAAGUUAUACAUUACUUAGAAUAGACUGAAACAGAAUUCUAAGCCUAUGCUUCUGACUCAGCAACACAGAGUGGGUUAUUUCAAACACUCAGGGCUGCCAUGAGGGUAAAAUCCUGUUCACCCUGCUUUUUUUCCCACCUUCCACCUGUGCACUGAUUUAACAUAUAACCAAAUAAAAGAUUAAUUAAAAUUCUCUUCUGCUUUUUUACUGAAUUAAAUCGGAUUAGCAAAAGACACAGUAAAUGCCAAACCUGCCAAAACAGCAGGGCAGUGCUAGAACAGAGGAAGAAGCUUUUUUUUUUUCAUGCUACUCCAGUCUGAACAGCUGCAGGAUCAUUCGCACUUAAUUGCUAUAACAGUACUUAACUAUUUGUAGAAUUGUUUCAAAGAGGUAAAAUUUGUCAGUAAAAUCAUGUAUAAUCCCCACUAAAUGUUGCCAAAAACAUCAAGCUGAAAAGAUAAGUUGAAUAAAUAACAACAACCUCCCUAGGGACACUGUUAUCUAGCAUGCUGUGCAAUCUCAUCUUGAAAGACUCCAAUAAUAGGUUUUCAAGAUGUGGCUGAACAGAGCACUAGAUUAUCUCAAAGCUCCCUUUUCUCAAAAAAAAAAAAAAAAUUGGACAUGAUUAUCUUCUGAGAUCCCUCCCAACCUGGGCUUGGGCUGUUCUUUGCUUCCAUAAUUCUGAAACCUUGUAAAAAUACGCAUUUGAUAGUUGUAUAGUAAAUCUGUAUUUUAAAAUUAGCAUCACUACUGCUCUAUCAGUUUGUAGCUUAUAUAAUUGAAUUUCAGUAAGGAUACAGCUUACAGGAUAAACAAAUCUGAUAAGCAAGUUUAAGAAUUUGUACAGAGCAGGUAUAUUAAUAGGCUAGUAUUACUAUAGUUUACUUGGCACUAAUGCUGCACAGUAUGGAGCAGGGGAGGCAGGAACAAAGCAGGACAGCCAAGGGAGCCCUGCUCUUUCCUGCCUUGCAGCACUGGCAGCUCUAGGACUUCGCUGGGCUCCUUGUGCUUUUUUGGUGCCUCAGGAAAAGAAGACAUAAGCUGGUUAGCAGCAGGAAGGACAAGGGAGGGAGAAGGAUAAGAAG